CCUACGGGUGGCAGCAGUGAGGAAUAUUGGUCAAUGGGCGAGAGCCUGAACCAGCCAAGUCGCGUGAAUGAUGACGGCCCUACGUGUUGUAAACUUCUUUUGUCAGGGAGCAAUUGAGUCCACGUGUGUGCUUAGCGCGAGUACCUGAAGAAAAAGCAUCCGCUAACUUCCUGCCAGCAGCCGCGGUAAUACGGAGGGUUCAAGCGUUACUCGGAAUCACUGGGCGUAAAGGUCGCGUAUGCGGGAUAGCAAGUCAGAUGUGAAAUCCUAUGGCUUAACCAUAGAAUUGCAUUUGAAACUGGUAUUCUAGAGUAUGGGAGAGGUAAGUGGAAUUCUUGGUGUAGGGGUAAAAUCCGUAGAGAUCAAGAGGAAUACUCAUUGCGAAGGCGACCUGCUAGAACAUAACUGACGCUGAUGCGCGAAAGCGUGGGGAGCAAACAGGAUUAGAUACCCCAGUAGUC
rnacentral:rRNA from 1 species